rnacentral:lncRNA from 1 species
UUGGGCCACGGAGACAGCAAUGCUGAGAUGUAGGCCCAGGACAACUGAGACUCUACAGCUGCUUCUAGACCCUGAGGCAAGAAGAGUCCAGGCUGCCUGCUAUACAGAUGGUAUAGCCAACUAUACAGAUGGCACCAGCCCAGGGUUGCCAGUAAAACCAGUACUUAGUUACCUCUGAAGAGUGAACAACCUGAAGCUCCUGUCCAAAGCAUGAAAUCAACUCACCCUCAGGAUUUCUCACCGUCAUUUCCUGCCUCUGGGACUCAAUGGCACACCACGUGUUCAAAGACUAGAAGAAGCACGGUCUGGAGAGCUGGAGACUACAGUGCUUUGGCAAGGUGCCUCCUUUGCAGGCAGGCACUGGCCAAGGGUGCUCUGGAUCUGCCUCCAAAAUUUAGCUCCAUUGUGUGAUGGAGUGGCAGAAAGGACCAAAGCAUAUAGUUUAAAGAGUCAUCUAUCUGUACCAACCAGAUUCUGACUCCGAAUUCUCUCUCAUUGAACAUUUACAAACAUUUUCUCUUCACAUUACUCUCCCCACUCUGUGUGUCACUGUGUAGGCAGUACAGUGGGAGACAACUGAAGAAACAGACAGGGUGUGGGGCCUGAAGACCAAUAGGUAGGGACAGCCACAUGCUGCUUGCAAACAAGGUAAGAGGGAUUUCAAGUCUUAGAGAGGAUUAAGUUUAGCACAGGCCUUGACCUUGUACUAACAUACCUCAGGUUCCCAAAUGCUGGGAUUAUAGACCUCCCACACCCAGUACCUACUUCUUUGUAUAUUAGUAGGGUGUUGUGGCACAUAGCUCUGGUAGUAGAAGCAGGAAGACCAGAAGAUCAUCCACAGAUGGCCAGCCUGACACAUUAGACCCUGUCUUAAUGUCUUAAGCUCAGUACUUUGAAAGAUGCUCAAUAGUUAUUUUUGUUACUUAACUGUUUUAAUAUGAUAGAAAAAGGGUGGUUUUUUGUUUUGUUGUUGUUGUUUUGUUUGUUUGUUUUUUGUUUUUGUUUUGGAUCUUGGCCUGGUUGAACACUCUGAAGAUUUUCCAUGUUGAUUCAGAAAUGGUAGGGAUAAGAAAUUCCCUUUUUUCCUGUCACUCCAAAUCUUUGAUGGAAGAAGGUUCUUUUAGGAUUUAAGACUGGUUAAAGAGUAAAUUUCUUUAGAUUU